rnacentral:rRNA from 1 species
ACGGAAAUUAAUACCCCAUAGGAUUCUAAAGUCGCAUGGCUUAAGGAUUAAAACUGUGGUUAUGGAUGGGCAUGCGUGCCAUUAGCUAGUUGGCGGGGUAACCCACCAAGGCGACGAUGGCUAGGGGGUCUAAAAGGAUGAUCCCCCACGGUACUGAGACACGGACCAGACUCCUACGGGAGGCAGCAGUGAGGAAUGGUCAAUGGGCGAGAGCCUGAACCAGCCAUCCCGCGUGCGAAGACGGCCCUAUGGGUUGUAAACUGCUUUUUUAUGGGAAGAAAGCCUACGAGUAGGUAACUGACGGUACCAUAAGAAUAAGCAUCGGCUACCGUGCCAGCAGCCGCGGUAAUACGGAGGAUGCGAGCGUUAUCCGGAUUGUUUAAAGGGUGUGUAGG